CUCCAUUUUCAUCCCUACUUUUCAUUGAUUUUUAUUAGGUUUGGUGACAAUUGAACUUUAUAAAUUACUUUGGCACAACUUGUGUUGUCUUAUCCCAAGCUUUAGUACUUUUUCCACUACUUCAUAAUAACUCAAUAGACCAAAUAGCUGUGAAUUGAUGUACUCACUCUGUUUUAAUGUUAAUGUCCUAGUUUACUUACUAGAGCACGAUGUUUACGAAAUAAAAUGAGACUUUUCAAUCUUAGGCUCUUAAAUUAAGAUAUUGUGCUUCAAUACACAGAGGAAUAGGGCAAGGGCACGUUGGUAUAUGAAGCAUUCCGCGUUAAUAUGAUUGGGGGAAAAGGUGUAUCUCAAAGGAAUGUGAUGUAUACAACCUAACCUAAUACAAAGAUUAGUAUUAUUAGCCUUCACAGCUCAACUCUGUGUGUGACGUGUAGACAAAUUUACCGUUGCACCAACUUAUUCAUGAUAUAAUUGUCCCUGGGUAGAAAUUUAUUACUUGAUGGCCCUUUCUACACCCACCCUUAUUCUCUUGCUUCAAUUAUGGAAUGAAAAAACAGACUCCAUUGGAAAAAGGACAGUUUGCAAACACAGCUGUAACAAUUCAGAACACUAGCAAAAUAGAGAGAGUUUUGAGAGAAAUUCUUGUUUGCAAAUUACUCUUACCCUUCAGCAGAUUUCAGAAAUGGAGAUUGGAUUAGCAGUUGGUGGUGCAUUUCUCUCUUCAGCUUUGACUGUUCUCUUUGAUAGGCUUGCUCCUAACGGUGAUCUGCUCAACAUGUUUCAGAAGCAUAAGGAUCAUGUUAAGCUCUUAAACUCCAAGAAGUAGUGAUAUAUUUUUAUAGUGGAUAUGUUGUUUGCUCAUUCGGUGCUUGAUAUCCACAUUGGAGUCCAACUAAAUUCGAAUUUGUACAUUUGAAGGAGCGGCGCUCCUGACAUGAUUUUUUCCCAUUCUACGACUCAUGCUCCUAAAUUCUAAUUAAGGAUAGAAAAAUCUCAACUAUCUCACCCCAACUCAUAUCAGUUAUAUUCGAUAUAAAGUGUAAACUAAAAAUUUUAUCA